rnacentral:rRNA from 1 species
UUGGAGGGCAAGUCUGGUGCCAGCAGCCGCGGUAAUUCCAGCUCCAAUAGCGUAUAUUAAAGUUGUUGCAGUUAAAAAGCUCGUAGUUGAAUUUCGAGACCGGUUUACUGGUCGUGCUUUUGUACGUACUGGUAUUAUUGGUUUCUCCUUUCUGACGAAUCUUAAUGCCAUUAAUUUGGUGUUUUGGGGAAUCAGGACUGUUACUUUGAAAAAAUUAGAGUGUUUAAAGCAGGCUCACGCUUGAAUACAUUAGCAUGGAAUAACGGAAUAGGACGUUUGAUUUUAUUUUGUUGGUUUCUAGGAUCGACGUAAUGAUUAAUAGGGAUAGUUGGGGGCAUUAGUAUUCAAUUGUCAGAGGUGAAAUUCUUGGAUUCAUUGAAGACUAACUACUGCGAAAGCAUUUGCCAAGGAUGUUUUCAUUAAUCAAGAACGAAAGUUAGGGGAUCGAAGACGAUCAGAUACCGUCGUAGUCUUAACCAUAAACUAUGCCGACUAGGGAUCGGAUGAUGUUAAUUUUUUAAUGACUCAUUCGGCGCCUUACGGGAAAC